AUUAGAUAAAAAACCAAUGCCCUUCGGGGCUCCUUGGUGAUUCAUAAUAACUUAACGAAUCGCAUGGCCUUGCGCCGGCGAUGGUUCAUUCAAAUUUCUGCCCUAUCAACUUUCGAUGGUAAGAUAGUGGCUUACCAUGGUCUCAACGGGUAACGGGGAAUUAGGGUUCUAUUCCGGAGAGGGAGCCUGAGAAACGGCUACCACAUCCAAGGAAGGCAGCAGGCGCGCAAAUUACCCAAUCCCAAUUCGGGGAGGUAGUGACAAUAAAUACUGAUACGGGGCUCUUUCGGGUCUCGUAAUUGGAAUGAGUACAAUCUAAAUCCCUUAACGAGGAACAAUUGGAGGGCAAGUCUGGUGCCAGCAGCCGCGGUAAUUCCAGCUCCAAUAGCGUAUAUUAAAGUUGUUGCCGUUAAAAAGCUCGUAGUUGAACCUUGGACCUGGCUGAUCUGUCCUCCUAAUCGAGCGCACGGAUUCGGUCGGGUCUUUCCUUCUGGGGAGCCCUAUGCUCUUCACUGGG
rnacentral:rRNA from 1 species